AAUAGAUACCCCGGUAGUCCACGCCGUAAACGGUGGAUGCUAGGUGUGAGGGGUAUCGACCCCCCUCGUGCCGGCGCGAACGCAGGAAGCAUCCCGCCUGGGGAGUACGGCCGCAAGGCUAAAACUCAAAGGAAUUGACGGGGGCCCGCACAAGCGGCGGAGCAUGCGGAUUAAUUCGAUGCAACGCGAAGAACCUUACCAAGGCUUGACAUGAACCGGAAAGACCUGGAAACAGGUCCCCCACUUGUGGUCGGUUUACAGGUGGUGCAUGGUUGUCGUCAGCUCGUGUCGUGAGAUGUUGGGUUAAGUCCCGCAACGAGCGCAACCCUCGUUCUAUGUUGCCAGCACGUGAUGGUGGGGACUCAUAGGAGACUGCCGGGGUCAACUCGGAGGAAGGUGGGGACGACGUCAAAUCAUCAUGCCCCUUAUGUCUUGGGCUUCACGCAUGCUACAAUGGCCGGUACAAAGGGUUGCGAUACUGUGAGGUGGAGCUAAUCCCAAAAAGCCGGUCUCAGUUCGGAUUGGGGUCUGCAACUCGACCCCA
rnacentral:rRNA from 1 species